UUUCCUCCCUGAAGGUACAGUCUUCCUCCGAGUAGCGAAUCUUUGGAGAAAGAGACAAGAGGCUGUGUGCAUGAGCAAGCACCACCGUGGACCGUCCCAGUGGUAACCAGCAGAGUGCUUCUUCUAUCAACCGCCUUUAAGCACACAGAAAUCAAGGCAUGGCUGAGCUCGACUACCAUCCCACUCCUUGAGAGGUGGAGGCAAGAAAUCCAGAGUUGAAGAGCAGCUGGGGCUACAUGAGAUUGUUGGCUCAUCCCAGAAGUAUCCAGCAACUUUCUCUUGAGACAGAUUCUUACCAUAUGUAGCCCUGCCUGGCCUAGAACUCAAAGAUCCACCUGCUUCUGUCACCAAAUGCAGGGAUUAAAGGCAUCUAUAACCAUGUUAGGCCUGGAUUUUCAUUUUGAAACAAAUACCUCCGGGACCAUGUUGACUUUGAACUCCUGAUCCUUCUGCCUCCACUUCCCAAGAGCUGGGAUGACAAGGAGCCCCACUGAGCUGGGUUUAUGCAGUGCUCAGUUGAACCCAGGGCUUUGAGUGUGCUAGGCAAACCACUCCACUAGCUCAAUUUCCCAGCCAUGUCAUGUUUUUUGAGACAGGCUCUAACUCUGAGGCCUUUACCUCUCAGCACUCCUCCUGCCUUCGCUUCCAGAAGAUUGGAAUUUUCCAAUUAUCCACCCCAACUGGAUAUCCACGCAGAAGCUGGCAGUGUGCAAAUCUUCCUGGUUUUUAACUAGUGACAUUGAAAUCUGAUCAUUAUCAACUUUCCAAAACCCUGCUCCUGGUUAGAUUACAUUUUCUGGGUAGUAACUGCAGCCUCGCCUGGGACCAGGGAUAAAGGGAUCCUUUCUGUCUAGACCUGCAGCUCAGGAAGCUUUUCUAAUGCUUAGGUGGUUGAGUCUCCUACCAUUGUGAGAAGAGAAGCCCCCUGGAUCUGCCGGCAGCUGUCCUGGAUCUGCCGGAUAAUCCGCAACUCCUCCCGCCCACCAUGCCAGGGACCAAGCCCACACUCUGUGGGUGGCCGGAAAUGAAUGCAGUGGGAAGCUGUCCCUAAUCCUAAGUACCAGAAUAUUCCUAGUCCCCAGGCUUGAGGUACCAGUGGUAGUCUCCCAGACUGGUGCCAUAUUCCCUUGGGGAGCCUACAUGGCUCAAUAAGCACAGGCUGUGUCUGCCUAAGCAUGCAGAGGUCAUUGAACUGCAGGUAGAAGACAGUUGGCAGAUAAGGCUCUGAUAACAGGCUAAUUCCAGGAACCAAUUGCUCCUGCCCUGGCUGAUGGCACUGAGACAGAGCCACCAGGCAGGAGGGGCCAUGUUCCCUGAAAAAAAAUGUGAACUGUAGAUAAACACAGGAUGUAUUUCUCCUGGAGAAUUCAUAUGGACAACUGGUCACUCUUUUUUUUUUCCAUAUAGAAACAAUGGAUUAUGGGGCUUCUAUUUUUAAAAAGGAGAGUCUGAAAUGAAUUAUGCCCACCAGAUCCAGGGUGGCACUAGAAUUGGGGGGCAAAGCUCCCAUGGGGCCUUCCUACACUAUUUACAUUAGUGCAGAAUGGAGGUCGGACUCCUUGCCCAGCACAAAUAAAGACUUCAGGAAGAUACAGGCAGGAGAUUUGCUUGGGCCUGGGUGUCAGCUUUCAGCCAGGCAGGGGACCCCCUCCUCUGAAGCCCCUUCCUUUCUCUGCAGACCCCUUUCUUUCUUUCCUUCUUUCUUUCUUUCUUUCUUUCUUUCUUUCUUUCUUUCUUUCCUUUCUCUGUGGUCUUUUCAUGUAGAUAAAUCAACUUCAGAGCCACAGACAAUUUGGGGACUCUUAAAGAAACAAAACAACAAAAACGUUAAGUCCGGUAGCCAUCCUUCCCCACUGGGGGACCUCGCACUGGUACUGCCAGAGGUAGGGCUGAAGGCUUCUUUGAACCCAGCCUCUAUUCCUACAGAGCACUAGCCUACAUACUUCAUGACUACCGAUUUUUAGGGGUUAUGUGAACCUAGCCAUCUCGCCUCACUCCAGUUCCCCCAGGUCACAAGCAGAUGAGCAUCUUGGGUACUUUCUAAAGUAUCUAAUUUUUGCAUCACACCAUGGACCUAAGAAAAAUUGAUUGAAAAGACCCUUCUUUCCUUUUUCUUUUCUUUUUUAUUUGAGGGAGGGGGAGGAAAUCGAGGACCACGAACACGCAAAGCCAGGAGAGGAGGCUUUCCUGUUCAGUAUCAAAGGGGCCGAAAGCUGAAUGGGACUCAGCAGUUAGCCCAGUCUUUGGGAAGAUUAGACAGCUUCUCUGGUCUCCCUGCUCCCCCGCUACAGCCUGGGGCCAUCACUUUACGCAGGGCGGGCAAGAGCAAUAUUAGCCCCACUAUCAUUGGUACCUUGCCCUCGAAGUUCCUUUUGGACCUGAGCAGGAGGCGAAAGAACAAACAAACAAACAAAAACAAUACGGACCCAACGCGGCCGCGAGCAUCCCGCCGCGUGGAGGAACACUCACCAGCCCGUAUAUCUUGCCGUCCGCGCUCAUGCAGAGGUACCGCACGCUGCUGACGUCCUUGAUGGCAAUCGUCUUCAGAGCGACCGCGCGGAAUUCCAACAAAUCUGCGAGCAAGAGAAAGAUGUUGCCGGGCCCCAGCAACACUCCACAGAGCCGUCGCUCCGGAUUCGGAGGAAGCAGUUGGAGACAUAGGGACCAGCGGAGUACAGGUACUGCAGGCGGGUAAUCUUGCCCCAGCCGUAGAGAAAGAGUGGAUCUUCAUCUGACACAGACUGGGAUUGCUGAGCCAGGGGACGCCCAGACACAGCCAGCCACAGAGUGGCCAGGACCAGGGCUCGGGCCACCGCACGCCCGUUCCACUUUCUCGCCAUGACACCUCGGGGUCCUGAAGGCCGUUACAAAGGUGGCGCGGAGACUGCGAUGCGGCGGGGACUCAAGUUGCAGGCGCAGGGCAGGCACAACCCACAAAGCAACUGGGCGCUUGUGGCGUGGGGCGCACAGAGUUACUGCUCCGACAGUGGGGUGGCUCCGGGCACGCGGCCUUAUAUACGUUUCGUCCCGCGGGCCCCGCGGGUAGGUGACCCGGGCAUCAGAGCAUUUCUCCUCCUAAUUGCAUCAAGUCUCCGCCCCCCGCACACACCCAUUCAAGCCCCAACCCAGUGACCCCGCCCAGGCCGGCCAGAUCUGGCAGAGGAGGAGCCCCCCCUUUGCGACCCUGGCCUGGGGAGCAAGUGUUCAAUGCACAGUAUCUUGGUGGUUAUUGAAUAGGCUAUUUUAAUUUUACUAUUAAUUAUUGAGGUCUUCAGGCCCUGGGCUUUCAGAGGGAUGCGCGUGGGACAGUCACAGAGACUAGAAGGCACGCAGAGCUCUGCCUCCGUAGCCCCCUGUUUGAGUCUUGAAUCUCUCCUUUAGCACGCUAUCGCAGAUCCUACCCUCCCUCAUUCUCCCGGCCCCAGACCUAGGCUCCCUUUUCAUGGAUAUUUGCCCUACAAGGUGGAGACCUCGUGAGAACGUGUCGCACGCACUAGGUGGCGCUUCAGCCCUAGUUUCGGUCUCCAAUGUGCUGCCAGUCGCUGUCUGCACGUCCUCUGCCUGCCUCGCGCGUGGACUCCACAAGUGGAAUGUCACUGGGGCUGCGACUUUUGAGAAGGGUGGACUGACCAGCGUGCAGAAGCACGGCAGGCCGCGGGAUCCCCUCUUGGGUCGAUGAUCAGGCCCUUGAGUCUGUGCGCGGGGGACAGCUGCGUACCGGAGAGGAGGGGGCCAGCUAGGAGCAACGGUGGACGCUGCUGGCGGCCGGUCAGGUGGGAGGAGAAUGGGGGCUUCUCCUAGAGCCGCUCUUGCAAAGAAAAGGAGGCAGCCUGCAGAGAAUUCCCCUGCCUGAAAGAAAGGGUCCUCGCAGGGGGCUUUGGCUCAGCGCUUAUCCUUUCUCAUUAUGCCUCCAACCCCCCAACUCCUGUAUGUGGGGCCCCAGGAGGCUGGUUUGGGUAAAAAGGUACUGGCCUAGCUCCGUGGUGAUGGGAGGUCUGUCUGCAGGGGCGGGACAGCAGAGAAAUGGCAGAUCUGAUGAAUCUCAAUGAGGAACACGCCACUUUCAGACGCCAUCAGUGACUGGCAUUAAUGACGGAGCUCUGGGAGAAUGUCAUCAGGAAAGCCUUUACAAAAAGACAUCACCGAAGGCUCUCAGGACCGGGGACUCCCAUGCUGUGAGGCUUGUUUUAGAGAGCGAUGUCUCCUGUAAAAUCUAAUUACUUCUCCCUUGUGAUUCUCAAUCGACAGCGCGGGCUAUUAAUCUUAAUUGCCUUCUCCUGACGCUUUUGUUUUAAUGUCCGUGAUAAAUGUGGGGUACCAGGGAGGUUGGCAGAGGCUUUACUGAAGAGUCCCCCCAAAUUGGGCUGGAGGGUGGCAUGCGGGUGGCAGCACCCCAUCCCCACUCUGCGCCCUUCUCAGGGACUCCCAGAAGAGUUAGAGAUGUUGGUAAUGGAGUGAUCAGAGGAAAGUCUGUUGGGUCACUGGGGGCCGCCAUAAGAACAUUCUUCUCCAGGGCGGGUUUUACUUCCACCUCUGAACAAGGUAGAAAAUGGGACUCUGGAAAGUGACAGAGCGCCCCCAAGGAUGCACAUCGUAAGAGGUGAAGAUGGAGCCUUGUUUGUGACAAAGGCAGGAUGGCCUGUCUCAGAGCACAGGAGUGACAGUGGAUCCACAGAUGGCUACUCCCUGGGCACAUGGUGAACUCUUGCCAGUUACAUCAGCCUGCUUUUGGGCUUAACUUGUGUUGUUUGGAAGAGUAGACAUAGGAGUCCUAAGAUCUCUCUGUGUAUAGAAGAGCCUGUGCUUUUCACACGGAGAGCGAGAGUCUAUUAAGUGGCUUUUUAUAAUUACAGCAAUGUGGGAACGAAUCGCAGGGUGUGAGGUGGGCGUGCCCAGGAAAUUCUGAUCACCACUCCUAGGUUUUGGGGAUAUCCCCCCUCCCCGGGAGAAAAUUGAAGGAAAAGAAAGAAAGAAAGAAAGAAAGAAAGAAAGAAAGAAAGAAAGAAAGAAAGAAAGAAAGAAAGAAAGAAAGAAAGAAAGAAAGAAAGAAAGAAAGAAAGAAAAGGGAAAGCGAUUUUUUGCAAGCAGGGGGCGCUGUUGUUACUUUAUAGACUCUCUUGAUGAAAGAGAAGGUGCCUGCUGCUUUCUGCGGCCUCUGGAUGCAGAUCUAGUCCCCAGGAAUCUCCAGAGCCUGUGUGGUGCUGAGACUGGGUUUCUAAUCUGUCAUCUCAGGGACUGUGUGGUAUGGGGGGGAGCAGUGGCAGAACUCCUGUGGCCUCUGCUGUUUUCUCGGGGCCCAUGCUGGACAGAUGGCCAGAAGGGCUUGGUUUAGGGGCUUUUUUGUUUGAUUGAAAACAAACAAAAACAAAACAAAAGGCCACAAAACUUUUUAUUCUUU